UACGUAGGGUGCGAGCGUUAAUCGGAAUUACUGGGCUUAAAGCGUGUGUAGGCGGGUCGUUAAGUGUCUUGUGAAAUCCCCCGGCUCAACCGGGGAAUGGCUGGGCAUACUGGCGAUCUUGAGCAGUCUAGGGGCAGAUGGAACAAGUGGUGGAGCGGUGAAAUGCGUAGAUAUCACUUGGAACGCCAAAGGUGAAAACAGUCUGCUGGGGACUUGCUGACGCUGAGACACGAAAGCCAGGGGAGCGAACGGG
rnacentral:rRNA from 1 species